AACGAACGCUGGCGGCAUGCCUAACACAUGCAAGUCGAACGAGACCUUCGGGUCUAUUGGCGCACGGGUGCGUAACGCGUGGGAACCUGCCCUUAGGUUCGGAAUAACUCCCCGAAAGGGGUGCUAAUACCGGAUAAUGUCUUCGGACCAAAGAUUUAUCGAAUUUGGAUGGGACCGCGUUGGAUUAGCUAGUUGGUAGGGUAAAAGCCUACCAAGGCGACGAUCCAUAGAUGGUCUGAGAGGAUGAUCAGCCACACUGGGACUGAGACACGGCCCAGACUCCUACGGGAGGCAGCAGUGGGGAAUAUUGGACAAUGGGCGAAAGCCUGAUCCAGCAAUGCCGCGUGAGUGAUGAAGGCCUUAGGGUUGUAAAGCUCUUUUACCCGGGAUGAUAAUGACAGUACCGGGAGAAUAAGCUCCGGCUAACUCCGUG
rnacentral:rRNA from 1 species